GACGAACGCUGGCGGCGUGCUUAACACAUGCAAGUCGAACGAUGAAGAAAAGACUCGAAGCUUCGGCAGAAAUUCAUUUCGGAUUAGUGGCAGACGGGUGAGUAACGCGUGAGCAACCUACCUCUUACAAAGGGAUAGCCUCGGGAAACCGGGAUUAAUACCAUAUAACAUUGUGACGAAGCAUUUCGAUGCAAUCAAAGCUACGGCGGUAAGAGAUGGGCUCGCGUCCCAUUAACCGGAUGGUGAGGUAACGGCUCACCAUAGUGACGAUGGGUAACCGGACUGAGAGGGUGAACGGUCACACUGGAACUGAGACACGGUCCAGACUCCUACGGGAGGCAGCAGUGGGGAAUAUUGCACAAUGGAGGGAACUCUGAUGCAGCGACGCCGCGUGAGUGAUGAAGGAAUUCGUUUCGUAAAACUCUGUUCUAUGGGAAGAAAAGGACUGUACCAUAGGAGAAAGCUCCGGCUAAAUACGUG
rnacentral:rRNA from 1 species